rnacentral:rRNA from 1 species
CCCUUAGAUGUUCUGGGCAGCACGCGCGCUACAAUGGUCUUCGCAAACGGAUGCAUUCUCGAAGGAGAAUGCCAAUCUUGGAAUCUAUGCCUUGGUCGGGACAGUUGCUUGCAAUUUUUCGACUCGAACCAGGAAUUCCUUGUAAUCGUGAUUCCUCACAUCACGAUGAAUACGUCCCUGCCCUUUGUACACACCGCCCGUCGCUCCUACCGAUCGAAGAGUUAGGUGAAUUGUUUUGAUCGAUAAGAUUUGACUAUGGUCAACUCUCGUUGUGAAAUUCUGUGAAUCUGACUGUUUAGAGGAAGGAAAAGUCGUAACA